rnacentral:sRNA from 1 species
UUGAUUUUAUUUGUAUAGUAUCAGUAAUCUGUUUAUUUCCUGCACUUUGUGAAAUUGUUUGCUGUUUUGUGAACUAUUUAAUAGCCCAUGAUGUUGUGACUAAACGUUUUGACCACUGCACGUUAUUUGCAAUACUGUCUACUUUACUAGAUAAGCUAUUUUUAGCUGCUUAGUCCUUUUUAAUAACUAUUAAUAAUUUGUAAAGUUAGUAGUAAUUUGUAAAGUGGGCGUUAUGCUCUAAAAGAGCGGGCCGCGCCAUUUUAAAUGAUGCACUGAGAGAGCAAGAGCGCGCGCAAUGAUCCGUUCAAAUAGAUGUAAAGUUAACACAUAGCUGUAGGUCUACAUUUUUAAAAAAGAAAACGAAACCUAUUUAUCCGCAUUACAAAUACAGUAACGUUAGUUAUCGCUGAACUUUAGUGGCGCUUGUUGUGACGAAAAUAUGCGUGUUUUUUUUUUAAGAUUUACUUUUAUGAGAUCACCUGCAGGAAGCAGGUGAGGAGAUCAGCUGUGAUUCGGUCCGGCGUCAGCGAGCGGCUCAUGACCAGACCAGUCGUUUUUUUCUCCAUGAUCGCCGGGGCAGCAGCAGUUUUAACCCGCCGAGGCUUUUAGAACAUUAUAAAGCAGUUUCAGCUCAAAAUGGACCCGUGAGUGUCACUACCAGUUUGUGAGCUGAUAUGCAGUGGAAAUUGACAUCCAGAAGGAAGUCAUAGAGGAAACACCAGCUGAUGCAAGUGCUGCAGAAGAAUUCAAUCGAAUAUCAGGAAGAAAUGUCAUCUGGCAGCAGUUCUCCGGGGUCUUUCAGUCCUUUAGAGGGAUGAGUCUAAAGAAAUUUUCAGGAUGUGUUUUGAUGUAAUUGUAGAGUCGGACUUCAGUGCAGAAGAUGUUGGCCUGCUGACUGUCGUGUGUGAAGAUGUCUAAAGAACCUCAUUAUGGAUGCAAUGUGGGCCUUUAUACUGGAAGGAAAAGUGGAUAUGGACUUUGCCACAUGCAGUAUGUCUCUUUUUUUGCUUUGAUUUACACACUGAAUUCGGACUACCCAAAGACUUUGAGCAAUGCAUUUGAAUUUGUUCAACGUGUGUUGCUUUUGCUGGGAGGGAAGCGUAAUGUGUUUUAUUCGGCGAGUGCCUAUAUACUGCUGUGCUUUAUGUUUAAAGGUUCAGGUAUAAUGGCAUGUUUAAUUACAAAGUGUUGCUUUUUAACAUGUUGCUGUUUGCAGUGUUACAUUUAGGACUGCAGCAUUUUGGUGUUUAAAACACUUUUUUUUUUUUUUUUUUACCAAAAAAGUGUAUUGUGAUUUAUAGGGUUGUCAAAAGUAUUGAGUUUGGUACCAAUCUGUACUGAAAUAAAUAAAUAAAAAGUCCAUCCAUUUCCCACUAACAUUGCAAGAACUGAUUGGCCAUU